CUUCCCGCGGGGCUGCGGGGAGAAGGGGGGGGUGGGGGGGGGGGGGUGGAGAGGGAAAGGGGGAGUGGUGGGACCGCAGCUCUCCGCCGAGCAUCCCUCUGGCUGGAGCUGGAUUUUAAAACAAUAAAAUCCACCGCUGCUAUCUCGCUCGCUCCCCCCCCCCCCCCCCCCCCCAUCCCGUUCCCCUCCCCGCCACACUGCAGCCCGCAGCCGCCCGUGGAAAUCGCACGCUCCGCGUCUGCGUGGAGGCAGGCGGACCGCCCGGCUCCUGCCCGCCGUGACUUUAGAGCUGACGAUCUCCUCUCCUCGACCCCCACCCCUCCACACCCACCCCCUGCUCGAUGGCAGAGCCGCUGCCUCUCGCACCAGACUAUAUUUGCAAUAUGUGCUAAUUUACCAGCUAGAUGCCCUUGGAUUUUAAAAUGAACUCAUCAGUCAACGUUUCUAGGACCGAUGCUGCUCUCUCCUCACACACACCCUCCACUGCAGACAUGUUACUCAUUCUCCAAGCAUUUCCUCCCCGAAUGUCCGUCAGACGUAUAUACACUUCAUUGAUCAAACCAAAUCCCUUGAUAACAAUAAAUAAUAAUACAGACAGUUAACAUCAGCGGGGAGCGGAGCGGGGCGGGGGGGGGGGGGAGACAAAGAUGACGACUAAAUCUGCAUUGUGCUCUGCAGGGCUGAUGCCUGCAGGGAUGCAGAACGCAGGUACGCCCCUAAGGACGGGCACAGCCCCGGCCAGAACGCACCACCUGAGACCCCCCCCCACCCCGAGCCACGGGGCGGGGGGCACCGAUCAUACCCAGAACCGGACCCUAUCCAGGCUGCCUGUGUGGGAACCGCAGGGGAGAAAGCACCUAAAGCCGCCACGGAAAUAAAUAAAUAAGGCAGCUCCUUUGUUAGGCUGUGCGCUGCGCAGGUGCUCAGCACUGCAGCGUUAAGGGCAUCCGUGCGGCCAGAGAUCCCGGGGCCGCACAGUGGGAUUUUCAGAAUCAUCUUCGUUCCCACUUACAUCAAUUUCCUUUGUGCCGCAGACAGCGAGCCCCAGUGUGAGACACCAGGUUAGGAGGCCAGGCUAUUCAAUAUCCUUCUGUUCUAUGCCAGGUAUUUCACAGGCUUUGGUUUCGGGGCUCUCGGGGCUUUAUUUCCUAUUUCCCUGGGGCUAAAACGGGGCAGGCAGGACAAGCUGCCUCCUGGGAUUUUGGCUGGCUCGGCGUCUUGUGUGGGUCUGGCAAAGAGAAAGUGACUGCAGUGUAAGUGUUCGGGAAGUUGGGGAGGGUGGGGCUAUCUAGAAAUCUUUGACUCACUGGGGUAACUCCCUGAACGCAGGAAUUAAAUUAUUACUCAAAGCGAGCUACAUUUUACGAGCAGCAGCCCUGGAAUGAGAUUCUGCAUGCACACAGAGUUCGAAACAACUAAAAUAAACAUAUGGAAAUACAUAUACAAUGCAUAAUUCAAUUAUUGGGUGCAAUGCAGAAGUCCCUGAGUGACAGAGGAGGGGGAAUUAUGCAGUAAAGGCAGCCCAGGAAUCCAUGCAUACAAAUUUUCUCAUUUAUACCGACACAACCCCGACUGACACCAGCCUAGAUAGGGGAAGAAUCACUCUAUGUACUGAGGGAUCUAAUCUAUGGGAAAAGCAGAGGAUGAGAGAGACUGUAUCCGCCAGCCAUCCUUUCUCUCCCCUUACAGAUUCCAUCCCCAGCACCAUAGCUGUGUGCAAGAUGUUGCCAUCACAGAGGACCAUUUACAUCCAUUGUCUUUUCUGUGUUCCCCUUUUCCUUCCAACAACAAAAAAAAGUUUCUUUUUUUUUUUUUCCUAAGUUUUGCUGCAAACACAUAAUUUCUUUACACAAUUUAACCAAGUCUUUGGAGGAUACUUAUUUCAAGCAGUUAACACCUGACCCCAAUUUUUGUUAGUUAAGGACUGGAAAAGCCACGCAGGGAGAUGUUUGCAGAGCGUGCCUACCUCUUGCUUAGGCCGUGUGGCCACUCUGGGCAUCUCUGCACACAGCAAGAAUCCCAAUCGUGUUGUAACACAGUUCUGUCUUGCUUAUUGCAAAUGGCACCACAAGUGGGCUGCUCUGCGCCUUGUGGAAGGUCAGGGCUGUAAGGCAAGAGGGUAGCACUGAAAGAAAACCCAACCCCACAGCUAAAUCAUGUUUGAUGAAUUCCAAUUAUUUGCCAUCCACAGUAUUUAAAUUUCAAAAAAGCACUUUUCUCCCAUGGAAAAUAUUACAUUCUCAGUAGAUGUUCUUCACAGAUUUAAGAAGGAAGGGAUGGGAACUAUUUUGCAGCGAUGGCUAAAUAAGGAAAAUUCAGCUACCAAAAAAAGAAAAAAAAAUAAGUUUUGACCAUGAGAACCAAGUGAAAAGAAGAGUUAUGCUGGAAACAGAUUGGUAAUCUUAAGCACAGCGGUCACUACCCACUGACCACUGUCUGCAGCAUUACACACUCUUAAGGACAUCUUCAAGACAUUACGCCCAGCAGCAAGGCACUUUCCUUUUUUAAUUGCUUUUAUGAAUCAUCGCUAACAUCCGGACACUAUUUACUAGAGUCCAGCAACCUUGUUUUUCAAGGACUUAAACUGCAGCACCUAAGGGCCUCCAGGCUGGCACAGAGAAACCGAGGCGUCAUCCUCUUGUGGUCAUAGACAUGCAUUUAACUCUGCUUGGGACCGUGCAAGCCAGGCACUAUAGAAGAAAACACAAAUGGCAGCAUCACCCAGCACUGGGAGUGCCAGGAAUGUGUAAUUUAAACAAAGUUUGAGGGGUUUCCCUAACUCUCCAUACCUCUCUUUAGUUCUUUUAUUCCUUCCCCCCAGCGAAGUACAACUGAAAGAGGCCUGAAAAUUGGUCUUGCCCUUAAAAAGAGACCAAAUCUCCACAGUCCAUUUGUUUCCGAGCACACCUGUUCAUCUUACCAGUGUGAGCAGGUCAAAAAGGAAAAAAAACCUUGCCAAAAUUGGGGAUCAGUUCAGAGCAGCUGUGCAGCAAACACCUGUCCACUCUGAACCGCACCAGAAGAUUGAAGCUUCUUUCAUGUGUUACAGGCCAUUUAAUAAUCCAGCAACUUACAGUGUUUGGCUGCUACCAUGCUGAGGUGAGUAUAAAUAAAUUGGUAUCCCCUUCACUAAUCCUCUUAGGGACCCAGUUUGCGGGAAGAGUUCUCACAGAAAAUGGAGUGAGAGCCAUUUUGCAGAGAGAAGCUGGAAAACAGAAAGGAAGAAUGAAUUUAAUCAUGGACACGGGUUCAAAGCAGACCUUGGUAGGUGCACAGUUGGAGCAGAAAGCAGAGUGCAGACAAACUAUGAUGAUUUUUUUUUUUCUGAAAUGAAUUGGAAUUAGAGGUUCAAAGGAGAAAACACAUAGGGGAAGGGAGGGUCAGCCAGAGGGGAUGCUUUAGGAACUUAAGCAUUAACUAUAAAACCUUGAGGUGUUUUUGAGACAAGUCAGUAACUUCACUACAGACCAACUUAAAUCUUUUCUUCUGUAGGAGAACAAAUAGAAUUGGUAAUUUU
ensembl:lncRNA